UACGAAGGGGGCUAGCGUUGCUCGGAAUCACUGGGCGUAAAGCGCACGUAGGCGGACUCUUAAGUCGGUGGUGAAAUCCUGGAGCUCAACUCCAGAACUGCCUUUAAGACUGCAUCGCUUGAAUCCAGGAGAGGUGAGUGGAAUUCCGAGUGUAGAGGUGAAAUUCGUAGAUAUUCGGAAGAACACCAGUGGCGAAGGCGGCUCACUGGACUGGUAUUGACGCUGAGGUGGCGAAAGCGUGGGGAGCAAACAGG
rnacentral:rRNA from 1 species